GUUGAGAAUGCCAUGUGGGUCAUUAGCAUUUCCUACUUAGCAUCUUGUUCGGGGAAGGGAAUUGCCAGGUCUACAGACAAUGCAGCAUUGAUUCGCUUAGGCAACAAUGAGAGGCCAAUAGUGCAGGUAUCUACACACACACACGAUGUAAGCUCAAGAUGGUGUCCUUAUAGUGCAUCUGCCAGUAAUGGUUGUUUCCAAUUUCUGGAUACUAUGAAUAGAGCAGCAAUGAACAUGGCUGACCAAGUGGUUCUGUGGUGUAGGAUACCAUUUCCUGUUGCAUGCAAGAUAUAGGACUCCCAGCUACUUCUCCAGCACCAUGUCUGUCUGCCUGCCGCCAUGUCUCACCAUAAUGAUAAUGGACUGAAUUUCUGAAACUGUAAGCCAUACCAGUUAAAUGUUUACCUUUAUAAAAGUUGCCAUGGACAUGGUGUCUCUUCUCAGCAAUAGAAACCCCAACUAAGACAAUGCCCAAGAGUGUAAUGCCUGGAUCUUGAGGUAGAUCAGUGCCCAUCUUCCUGAGGAGCUG
rnacentral:lncRNA from 1 species